AUUGAACGCUGGCGGCAUGCUUUACACAUGCAAGUCGAACGGCAGCGCGGGCUUCGGCCUGGCGGCGAGUGGCGAAUGGGUGAGUAAUGCAUCGGAACGUGCCCAGUAGUGGGGGAUAGCCCGGCGAAAGCCGGAUUAAUACCGCAUACGACCUGAGGGUGAAAGCGGGGGACCGAAAGGCCUCGCGCUAUUGGAGCGGCCGAUGUCGGAUUAGCUAGUUGGUGGGGUAAAGGCUUACCAAGGCGACGAUCCGUAGCUGGUCUGAGAGGACGACCAGCCACACUUGGACUUGGACCCGGCCCAGACUCCCACGGGGAGGCAGCGUGGGGAAAUUUGGAACAAGGGGGCAACCCUGAUCCAGCCAUGCCGCGUGCGGGAAGAAGGCCUUCGGGUUGUAAACCGCUUUUGUUCGGGAAGAAAUCCUCUGGGCUAAUACCCCGGGGGGAUGACGGUACCGGAAGAAUAAGCACCGGCUAACUACGUG
rnacentral:rRNA from 1 species